AGUGAACGCUGGCGGUAGGCCUAACACAUGCAAGUCGAACGGCAGCACAGUAAGAGCUUGCUCUUACGGGUGGCGAGUGGCGGACGGGUGAGGAAUACAUCGGAAUCUACUUUUUCGUGGGGGAUAACGUAGGGUAACUUACGCUAAUACCGCAUACGACCUACGGGUGAAAGCAGGGGAUCUUCGGACCUUGCGCGAUUGAAUGAGCCGAUGUCGGAUUAGCUAGUUGGCGGGGUAGAGGCCCACCAAGGCGACGAUCCGUAGCUGGUCUGAGAGGAUGAUCAGCCACACUGGAACUGAGACACGGUCCAGACUCCUACGGGAGGCAGCAGUGGGGAAUAUUGGACAAUGGGCGCAAGCCUGAUCCAGCCAUACCGCGUGGGUGAAGAAGGCCUUCGGGUUGUAAAGCCCUUUUGUUGGGAAAGAAAAGCAGCAGGUUAAUACCCCGCUGUUCUGACGGUACCCAAAGAAUAAGCACCGGCUAACUUCGUG
rnacentral:rRNA from 1 species